rnacentral:lncRNA from 1 species
CUUUGAUGAGGAAUAGUGCCGUGGAAGUGAAAACCAAGUAGACCCUCUCCUCGCCAUGUUGCUUUGGUCAAGGUGCUUCAUCACAGCAAUAGAAACAGGAACUAAGAGAUGAUUCAGAGAGCUACAGCCAGGGCUGGGCAUUAGGAGGAACACUGUGUGUGUGUGUGUGUGUGUGUGUGCUGCCUUGGCUCUUGUCUUUAAGUUAGGUGUAGGAGAACCCCCAACUACACAAGGAUAGUGCUGUGUCUAUGGUACUUCUCUGCUGGGACAAGGUGCUGUACACAGUGUUAUGACAGAAAGACCAAGGCCUUAGGCUUAUCUUCAGGAUCACCUGUCAUUUCACCAUAGCCGUAUUUUAUGGGGGCUAACUUGGCCUGCCUGAGCAGUGGCAGGUGGUGGUGGGUCCAUGAGCCAUAAGGGUAAAUAGUUACAAGUUGUAUAGCAUGUUAACAUGCAUUUAAAAAUAUUUUAGCCUUGCCUUUUACACCCAUUCAUACCAACCUGUAAAGCAAGGCUCUACUCCAUGAGUUUUAUGGCAGCAACAGGGUUGCGUGGGGUGAGCCAGGCUCUGGUCUUAGGGCUCCUGGACUCUGUAUCUUUCAGGGAUGUUUGGUUGUGGAACUAUAGAAUUCUGCAUGUCUGAGAUAUGUAGCAGGAAGAACAUGGGCUCAGGGAGGGCACAGCCCCUUGGCUAUUAUGAAUGCCUUGCAUUAUCCAGGACAGUAGUCCUUAGAAAUGUGGGUCACAGAAAGGCUCAUUCUGGCAUAAGUAGAACCUGGAAUGAUUCACAGACUUUCAGCCAAAGACUUAAACAUCUCCAUAGUUUCUUUAAAUUCAGUAAAGACUGUGCCAUUUGAUUUUAAAAUGGACAGUGAUCUGUCUUCCCUAGGACCAAUAGUGGGGAGGGAAGCCGAAGGUGAUCUUAAGCACUGUCUCAACACUGGGACCAGUCCAACCAGAGAAGGCAAGGCCCUUCUCAUCCCGUUUCCCAACUGAUGCCGUCUGCAUGUCUUCCCAAGACACUAAGGAGGCUGCUGGCUUCUCAGAACUCAGAUCUACCUCAGCUCUAGUGAAGACUCAAAGCCUUCAAAGUUCACUCAGGGUAGAAACUUAGGGGUUUGAUUCUGCCCCGUGAGAUGAUGCUCAUGUCAAUCAAGACGUCUGGUCGGCACCUGCUGGAGUGAGUCACAGAGUCUGAUGACGUGUCUAUUUGCCAAGCCAUUACAAAAGGCCAUUUACUUGCUUGAAGCUAUUUGCCUCCAGUAACCAGGGAUCAGCCUUGACUUCCCUACUCUCUUAGGACCACACCAACACCUGCCAUUGGCUUCUAACCCAAUGGGCUCUCUCUGUUUUCUCCUCUUCCUACUCAAGGUCAGUGAUCAUUGAUUUUGUUUGGGUCACAAUCUGUUCUCCUUACUAAUCUCAAACAGCAGUCCCCCCCCCCCCCUGUGUGUGUGUGUGUGUGUGCGUGUGCGUGUGUGUGUGUGUGUGUGUGCACGCACGCGCAGGGGGAGAUCCCAUGACUCCAAGUCAACACCAUACACUCCAAUAGUAGAAACCCAGUUUAUACACUGGGUUUCCCCUUUCUCACAUACACAUGAUAAAAUUGACAACAUAGAUACAGUAAGAGACCAUUUACCACUAAGUUUUAACUAAUGAAGUAGAAUUAUAAUAUACACUACAAUAAAAGUUGUUUAUACAUUGUGACUUCCCUGUUUUCUAAAUUUUCAUCUUAA